CACACCGCCCGUCACACCAUGGGAGUUGGUUUCACCCGAAGGUGGCGCGCUAACCGCAAGGAGGCAGCUGACCACGGUGGGAUCAGCGACUGGGGUG
rnacentral:rRNA from 1 species